rnacentral:rRNA from 1 species
GAUGAACGCUGGCGGCGUGCCUAAUACAUGCAAGUCGAGCGAACGGACGAGAAGCUUGCUUCUCUGAUGUUAGCGGCGGACGGGUGAGUAACACGUGGAUAACCUACCUAUAAGACUGGGAUAACUUCGGGAAACCGGAGCUAAUACCGGAUAAUAUUUUGAACCUCAUGGUUCAAAAGUGAAAGACGGUCUUGCUGUCACUUAUAGAUUGAUCCGCGCUGCAUUAGCUAGUUGGUAAGGUAACGGCUUACCAAGGCAACGAUGCAUAGCCGACCUGAGAGGGUGAUCGGACACACUGGAACUGAGAAACGGUACAGACACCUACGGGAGGCAGCAGUAGGGAAUCUUACGCAAUGGGCGAAAGGCUGACGGAGCAAAGCCGCGUGAGUGAUGAAGGUCUUCGGAUCGUAAAACUCUGUUAUUAGGGAAGAACAUAUGUGUAAGUAACUGUGAACAUCUUGACGGUACCUAAUCAGAAAGCCACGGCUAACUACGUG